rnacentral:rRNA from 1 species
AUGCCAAGGCGGCCAGCGGGCGGCCGCGCAGCCAAGCGUCCUCGUCGGCGGCGCCUCUACCUUGUCACUGAAGAUUGGAAACAGGGAUACAGCAUCCGCGAGGUAGACUUGGAGGAGGACCACGUUGCCGCCGACUCCGACUCCGACGAUCAGGAGCCGCGGCGCCUACCGUCGCCGGUCCUCCGCCUGGAGGCGCCACACAACGGGCCUUGGCACUUUGCGGCGGCCUUUGGCACCAAGAUCAUGGCCCUGCACCUGACGCCCUGGCGCUACACCCCAAUCUUCGACGUCCAGACUCGGUGCCUCACCUUCGGCCCUCCGCCGAUAGGGAUGGCUACGGCCCCGGUCCAUGUGCCUGUCGGCGACAGCCUCUACAAGUUUGGUUUCCGCAAGUUCCACGUGCUCCACCCUCCUCCACCACGAACCGAAGUGCUCUGCUGCAACGUGCCCGAGGAGUGGUCAUGGCGCUGCCUCACGCCGCCCUUCGGGGAGCAUCAAGUCACCUCCCACGCCGUGCACCCCGACGGACGGACUCUCUUCGCCAGCGUCAGGGUCAAAGGGCGCGACACGGGCGACACCUUCACCUGCGACACGGGGGCGGACGCGGACGACCCCGAGUGGACGGCGCACCGCGGGUGGGAGCUGCCGUUCAAGGGCCCCGGGCACUACGACCCCAGGCUGGACGCCUGGGUCGGGCUCACCGACGACCCGGCCACCGCCGGCCACAUCUGCUGCUGCCAGGUGCCGUCCCCCGACGACGUCUGCCCGUCGCCCAUGGCGUGGAAGCUCAGCAGGGAGAAGCUCUUCUGCCGCGACCCAGCCGAGGCGCACGCCGGCGCGUCCCUCGUCUACCUAGGGACGGGGCACAGGAGCCGGUUCUGCCUCGUGGAGUGCCUCUCGCGGGGCUUGCGGCGCCAUCAGCUUCGAUUGACAACCUUCUCCCCCAGGUAUCACAGGAACGGCGACCUCGGGAUCAGCAAACGCCGUAGGGUUCAGUCCUUUAAGUUGCCCAACACGGGGGGUAAAGACUCUGGAUUCUUGAAGAAUCCAGUUGCAUUCUGGUUGUAA